CCUACGGGGCGCAGCAGUAGGGAAUUUUCGUCAAUGGGCGCAAGCCUGAACGAGCAAUGCCGCGUGAACGAGGAAGGUCUUCGGAUCGUAAAGUUCUGUUGAAGGGGAAAAAGAGCGGAGAGAGGAAAUGGUCUCCGAUUGAUAUUACCCUUCGAGGAAGUCACGGCUAACUACGUGCCAGCAGCCGCGGUAAUACGUAGGUGGCGAGCGUUAUCCGGAAUGAUUGGGUGUAAAGGGAGCGUAGACGGCGUAUCAAGUCUGAUGUGAAAGGCAGGGGCUCAACCCCUGGACUGCAUUGGAAACUG
rnacentral:rRNA from 1 species